GAGUAAUGUCUGGGAAACUGCCUGAUGAGGGGGAUAACUACUGGAAACGGUAGCUAAUACCGCAUAACGUCGCAAGACCAAAGAGGGGGACCUUCGGGCCUCUUGCCAUCGGAUGUGCCCAGAUGGGAUUAGCUAGUAGGUGGGGUAAAGGCUCACCUAGGCGACGAUCCCUAGCUGGUCUGAGAGGAUGACCAGCCACACUGGAACUGAGACACGGUCCAGACUCCUACGGGAGGCAGCAUG
rnacentral:rRNA from 1 species